GCCGUUUGGUGAGGGCCAGCAGCAGCUGGUGGUGAUGACAUUGCCACAAGAACAACGUACCGAUGAAGCAACAGCAACUCUCCCUGGGAACGAUCUGCGGCAUACAAAGGAGAUCAAGAGGGAGACAUGAGGAACAAAGGUGCCAUGUAGGGUGAGCAUCAGGGGAUUUCCUGCAGCUUACCAUGGAAAAACGUCGGUGUUCAUGGGUUCCAAGAUUACUGCUGCAGCAAAAACCGAUCCAUGGCGUCAUCGGGACUCUGUUUUGGUGGAGCAACAACAGAUGGAGGUAGGAGAUGUGGAGGGGGCGUCCAUGUGAGAUGGACGAAGGAGAGAAGUUGAGGUGGUGUCCAUCUGCUGGUGCUCUCAUAAAAAAAUAGAAGAAGGAGAGGAAGGGAAUAUGGUGGGAGCAGCCAUGGGAAUGGAAAAGAGAAGAUGGAGUGCUUCUUCUCUGGUGAUGGCAUGAGGGGAAGGAGAGAAAAGGAGGAGGCAGCCAUCUUAUGGUGGAAGAGGAAGAGGUGAGGGUCCUUCUGUUGUGUGCGUGAG
rnacentral:lncRNA from 1 species